ensembl:lncRNA
GAACGGGCGAUCUGAACGCAGACAGCAGAAGGGUCCCAGGAUGGGAGUCAGGAAGCAGACGUUCCGGACAGGAAGGAGAGGGGAGGCCACAGCUGCCUUGAGUAGCCCCGGCCUGAUAGAGAGUCGGUUUAACAAGCUCAGUGACCGGAACGCGGGGUCACCCAGGAAGGUGGGGCUGCUGAGAUUUCAGGGGAAGGACUCGGAAAAACAGACUUUGUUGAAAGAGAUUUCAUUCUGAACUUUGAACUUGGUCAGAAAGAGAACGGGCUCAAAUGUGAGGGCUUAAAGAAGACAUUGAACGGUUGUGCUGUUUAUAGUAAAAUAAAACUUCCUGCCUGGCUUCAGCUAAAGAUGAAGCACCUGCUCUUUGUCCAUUCUCCUCCUCCCCUCAGUGGACUGUAGCAGCUGAAAUACCCCAUUCGAGGACCCCUUAGUGAGCUGCUCUGUCCACAUAGUCCACGGUGCGUGUCGGCGGCCAUCCGCCCUGGUGAGGUGGGCGUGGCCCCUUCCCAGUGUAGUAGUUGACAUUUUCUAAUAUUUUUAUGGAGGGAAUGUGAAAAGUGGCUCUUCAGAUGCCAUCCCAGAUGGGUCUGGGGAAAGGAAAGCUGUAAAGAACAUGGUAUGGAACUCCAUUCAGGAUGUAUUAAAAUAAUUUGCUUUUCAGGUAUUAAUAUGACAUUUGUCAUUGUCACUGAUUUUUUAAAAAAGCAAUGCAAAUGUUGGUUGUGACUGUUUUCCGCAUGCUAUCUUCAUAUCUAAAUGCUUCACUAAUUAUUCAAGCCUCUGGAGAAUUAACUUUAAUACGUUUGUAUAGUAGGUUUGUAAACUGCUCGGCAAGUUGAUUAAGAAAUUAUGUACAACACCAUGCUACUAAAGUGUCAGGUUUCUGGUGGGAACUGGGGGAGUCCAAUUUGAAGUUUUGAGCUCCUUUAUUGAUUGAAAUAAAAAGGCAUUGUUGGAAAAAGAAAACAGAGAGGAAGGGUGGGUCCCUUAACUUAGCAAAGGGUUGGAAAUGUUUAUCCUGUGUGGCUCCAAAUCCAGUGAAAGAAAUUCUCGCAUUUAAAGUAGUAGCUCUUAAAUUUCCGAGUAAGCCUUCCAGCAUCAUCAGCAGAAAGAGGUGGCCUAGACCUGACCGACCUUCCCCACAGGGACCUAGUGCCUGGGGUCACUGCAGGCCCAGCCAUCCAGAGAGCUCCCAGGGACUUCCCACCAGCGCAGGACAGGCAGUGAGAUCCCGGCCGCAGCUUGCACUGCCCUGGCAAGAUGACCUCCGUCUGUCUUGCCUGCACUGCAGGUUUCUUCCCUCACCCAGAUGCAGCCAGGUGCCUUACAGAGGGUCACUGCAAGAAGGCCAGUUCCUCAGCGUGGGGCUCCCAGUGAGCGGCCCGAGAGGGUGUCCUGUACAGGGCGUCACCUUGCUGUCCGUGGUGACACACCUGCCACCGUAGGUCACAUCCCAGAAACUCCGUGCACUCUUUGCCAAGGCAGGAACUUGAGGCUCUCGCCUGAUUCCUCCUCAUAACCUUAGCUGUUGCUGGUCAAGUGGCUUCUCCGAGUGGGCCUCCACUCCCCUGCUCAAGAUCAUCGGCUCAUCCUCCUCUUCUUUGCCUGGUUUUCAGAAGAGUGAUCUUUUCCCAUUUUCCUCUCCUCUGGUGUCCUGGCCGGUUUCCUUUCCACCUCCCCCACGAUUGCACGUGUCUUUGGUCAGACCUGCAUCUUCAGAGUUCUGUCCACUUCUUACUGCUGCUGGAUUCAGUGGCCACAGAACUGGCUCCUUUCUGGGCCCAGGAAGCAUCUGCCACCGAGUGUCCCGUGUGGGCCUGCGAGGCCUGCCGCCCUGGGAACUAGCUCUGAGCAGGGCAGGGAAGCCCUUGCUUCUGACCUUUAGUUCUGGGGUCUCUGCUGGGGUGGGGGUGGCGGUGACUGAGGUGAGGGAAAUCAGACCGUGUGGCCAGCUUUUGCACAUGUCCGAUGGAGAGCUCCUGGGGCUGGACUUGUGGCACCUUCUGUCCACACUCACCUUUUCUUCUGUAGUCCUUCCUUUCUCUUUCCAACCAGGUGAGUGAACAGCAGUUUUGUUUUUCUAAUGUGAGACGUGGGGGCAGCACCUCCUCACCUCUGUGCCGUAAUAAGGUGGUGAUUUCUUCUCUAGAAGGAGUUUUUGCUGCUUGGGUUCUGCUAGCCAUUGCUGCAUCUGGGCAGGGCCGGCAACAGCUCCUGCUCUGCCACCCUGCUGCCUGAGCAGGUGUGAGGGAGGCAUUGCUGUGGACCUCCCAUGAAAAGGUGGGCACAGGAGUCUCCGGCCACUCCAGCCAGGCAGGACCAGUUGAUUAGAACUGAUCUUACUCGUCUGAUAACGAUUCUUAUUUAUAAACUGCUUCUUAUCUGUCUUCCCACCCUGGCUUUCUUGCCAUGGAAUAAAACUAGAACAGCACAUAAUUAGGAAGCAUCAAUCAUAAAUAACUGGGAGACUCCAUGUUCUCUCUCCCUCAGAUGGUGGAGGCUGAAGGAAGCUGACGUGUCAGCUGCACAAAGACAGACUUCUUCAACCUCCUCCUCCACGCUCAUGUUCUUUGCCGGCUAGCAUAGGCAGCCUCUGUCCAUUCUGCAGUGCUCAAGCGAGACUCCCCCCUUUCUUCCUCUAGUCCCACUUCCUAAUGAGAGAGGGAACAAGCAUUUAAAUUACCAAAGGAGAAAGCGCUCCUCAUGUAUUUCUAACAGAAACCAGAUGCUUCUGCCUGAGGAGGAUCCAACCAUGGCCCAGGAAAGUGGAAAAAUGAACCAGUUAUGUGGAUAUUUGACCUAAGAGGAGUUGCUGCUGGCGACUGCCUGGCCCUCCAGAGCCUUGGCCUGGGCUCUGCAGGUGGUGUUCCACAGCACCUGCUCUGACUGAGGAGGCGCUGCAGACGGCCACCUCCUGAGGCCCAUUUCUGUAAGGGCAAGAGCAGUGGGCAUGAAGGGGCCUGGGCCUUGUCUCCAGGGCUGUGUCCCUCUGGAUGGACCUCAGCAGGCACCAGAGCACACCUGUGUGAUCAUUCAGAAGUCAUCAUCAAGGUCAAGCUCAAAAAAGAGUUCGCUUCUUUUUCCAUCUUCCCAUAAGAGUAGCUCAGUGAACAUGAGACUCCAUACAACAUGACUCACGGUUGGGAGCUGGGCUGUUUUAUAAGCUUACUUCCUGCCAAGAAAACUAGCUUUCCUCAGGGGAAUAAAAAGGAGAGAAAAGUCACACAGCGUUAGGGAACACUUCUGUGAUUUAAACAAGAUGACUUGCUAAGAUAGAAAGGGCUUUCUUAUUCUGUCCUGAGAGUUUUCUGACACCCUUUGGCUCACUGGGCAUUUGGCCCAUGACAUUCAGCAGGUCACUAAUCAAGCUUCUCUGAAAUUCUCAGUUUUUACCAAUAAGGUCUGUUCUCCAGCCUCUCGAAUGGAUUUCCAUAUUUUUCCAGAAAGUAUUCUUGCUUCUGUCAUAGAGCCCAGCUUAAUGUUUGAAGGCCUGAGAGUCAUCCAUUUUCUCUGGAGAGUGAGGGCCUGACAGGGCUGCCUCCCUGACCCUGUCCCUUCCUGCACAGGGUGGCUCUGCCCAUCUCCUGCUUUAACUUCACGUGCAUAAACCAAACCUCCAAGGGCCUGAGGUGGUGAGGCAGGCUGGAAUCUGCUGCGUGUCAAGUGUGAAGGUGUGUCUUGUUAAGAAGGCCUGUCACAGGCCUCUGGUGUGGGCUCUGCCAGAGACUGCUCUGAACACUUUGCUUGAGAUCUGUGCCCUGUAAAAUGGAUAUGAUGUUUUACCGAUGUCUGUAAUACAUUUGUAAACUUCCAAUAAAAUUUGAAUAAAAGAAAUGUUGCCUUUCUUCUCAGUUCUCCCUCGCUUGCC